UACGUAGGUUGCAAGCGUUGUCCGGAAUUACUGGGUGUAAAGGGCGUGUAGGCGGAGAUGCAAGUCGGGAGUGAAAUCCAUGGGCUCAACCCAUGAACUGCUUUCGAAACUGCAUCCCUUGAGUAUCGGAGAGGCAAGCGGAAUUCCUAGUGUAGCGGUGAAAUGCGUAGAUAUUAGGAGGAACACCAGUGGCGAAGGCGGCUUGCUGGACGACAACUGACGCUGAGGCGCGAAAGCGUGGGGAGCAAACAGG
rnacentral:rRNA from 1 species